rnacentral:rRNA from 1 species
GAUGAACGCUAGCGGCAGGCCUAAUACAUGCAAGUCGAACGGAUAUAUGUUUUUCGGAAUAUAUAUUAGUGGCGCACGGGUGAGUAACACGUACAUAACUUGCCCUCAAGCGGGGGAUAGCCUUGGGAAACUGAGAGUAAUACCCCAUAGAAUUAUUGGACGGCAUCGUUUGAUAAUUAAAACUACGGUGCUUGGGGAUAGAUGUGCGUCUGAUUAGCUAGUUGGUGAGGUAACUGCUCACCAAGGCGACGAUCAGUAGGGGGCGUGAGAGCGUGGCCCCCCACACGGGUACUGAGACACGGACCCGACUCCUACGGGAGGCAGCAGUAAGGAAUAUUGGUCAAUGGAGGGAACUCUGAACCAGCCAUGCCGCGUGAAGGAUGACGGCCCUCUGGGUUGUAAACUUCUUUUGGAUGGGGCGAAAAAACGGGAUUUAUCCUGGACUGACGGUACCAUCAGAAUAAGCACCGGCUAACUCCGUGCCAGCAGACGCGGUAAUGUAGUCGUGU